AUAAUUGUUGCGAUAGUAAUACUGCUUAGUACGAGAAGAACAGCAAGUUCAGACAUUUGGUUCAUGGAUCUGACCGAUCAGUCAAUGGUCCGAAGCUACCGUCUAUUGGAUUAUGACUGAACGCCUCUCAAGUCAGGAUCCCACUUACAAUUUAGUCAGGCAGCGAUAACUUUGUCUCCCGAUGACGGAAGGCAAUUCUACCUCGUGGCAACAUGAGAACUUAUGCCCUAAUAAAGACUCAGCCGGUAUGAAUAAACUCUGGUGGUUAUCAAAUCCAGAACAGUCUGGUUUUUAUGUGGGUGAGGGAAAUCACAUGUUUACGACAUGUAUGUAUACUGGUCAUGGUAUUGUAUCCGGUAGAGCAGUGUUUGUACACUGCGAUCUGUUGAGACUGUCUUUUGAUCGGAUGU
rfam:Nippostrongylus brasiliensis genome assembly, scaffold: NBR_scaffold0000269